AUGCGGGACGCGGAUGCAGACGCAGGCGGAAGCACCAACUGCAGGGAUAGCCAGGGUGACCACAGCUGCCCCGGUGGCGCGGACACAGCGGCAGCUCCAGCAGGCGGAGCUCCCCCACCUCACGCCUCAGGUCCUGGCAGAGACGCCACGUCUGUGGCCAGGGGGCCAGGAAUGCGGCCACACGUAUUCACCCUCAGCGUGCCUUUCCCGACCCCUUUAGAGGCGGAAAUUGCCCGUGGGUCCCUGGCUCCAGAUGCUGAGCCCCACCAAAGGGUGGUUGGGAAGAAUCUCGCAGUGAGCGGCAGGAUCUUGGCCGUCCGCUGGGAAGCUGAAGACUGUCGCCUGCUCCGAAUUUCCGUUAUCAACUUUCUCGACCAUCUUUCUCUGGUGGUGCAGACCAUGCAGCACUUUGGGCCCCCCAUUUCCCGCUAAGCCUGGUCUGGCAAAAUGGGGCGUGGUCUAACCUUGCGUCUCCUCCUAGGCAGUGCAUCCAUUCUUCCCUAGGGCAGGGAAUUCCCAUAGUUGCUACUUUCCUGGAAGGGCCUCAUGGUCGGCCUGUACUGGCCUUAGGAUACUGAGGGGCCCCUUGUUUUAUCUGGUUCUUAAAUGUUUGUUACCACAGAAAAUAAAACUGAGCUACUAUUA